rnacentral:lncRNA from 1 species
AUAGAGUCACCAGGUGAUGAAUGCAAUGGAGCUCAGAUUCUCUCAUAUUUGCCCUUCUGCUCUAUACUAAUUGGUGGAUGAGAAGACCAUCUAGCAUGCAUGUCGUUCUUUGUUUUCUCGGUAUCUCCGACUAAUAAGUAAUGUAUAUCAUCUAGAAAAGUACUAGCAAAGGUGCCCGCGCGAUGCUGCGGGUUUUAAAAC